AGCGUGAGUGAUGAAAACUUUGCCUUAGGUUGGUCUUUUUUGGGCCGUUUUGGUUCAAAGCUCUGGACUUGCCGAUGUUAGGAUUGUCAUAGUUACACUGACACGCA